rnacentral:rRNA from 1 species
UACCAGCUCUCCGAGUGGUAGGGAUGAUUAUUGGGCUUAAAGCGUCCGUAGCCGGCUUAGCAAGUCUCCUGUUAAAUUCAGCGACCUAAUCGUUGAGCCGCGGGAGAUACUACUAGGCUAGGAGGCGGGAGAGGUCAACGGUACUUCCGGGGUAGGGGUGAAAUCCUAUAAUCCCGGGAGGACCACCAGUGGCGAAGGCUGUUGACUAGAACGCGCUCGACGGUGAGGGACGAAAGCUGGGGGAGCGAACCGGAUUAGAUACCCGGGUAGUCCCAGCUGUAAACGAUGCGGGCUAGGUGUUGGGGUGGCUACGUGCCACUUCAGUGCCGCAGGGAAGCCAUUAAGCCCGCCGCCUGGGGAGUACGGCCGCAAGGCUGAAACUUAAAGGAAUUGGCGGGGGAGCACCACAAGGCGUGAAGCUUGCGGUUC